ensembl:snoRNA SNORD36 Small nucleolar RNA SNORD36
UUGCAAUGAUGUAUGAAUUUCUUCACCUGAAAUACAAACUGAAGAGCAAACUAUACGAGCUUUUUAACACUGAGCUAU